AUUGAACGCUGGCGGCAGGCCUAACACAUGCAAGUCGAACGGUAACAGGAAGCAGCUUGCUGCUUCGCUGACGAGUGGCGGACGGGUGAGUAAUGUCUGGGAAGCUGCCUGAUGGAGGGGGAUAACUACUGGAAACGGUAGCUAAUACCGCAUAAUGUCGCAAGACCAAAGAGGGGGACCUUCGGGCCUCUUGCCAUCGGAUGUGCCCAGAUGGGAUUAGCUUGUUGGUGGGGUAACGGCUCACCAAGGCGACGAUCCCUAGCUGGUCUGAGAGGAUGACCAGACACACUGGAACUGAGACACGGUCCAGACUCCUACGGGAGGCAGCAGUGGGGAAUAUUGCACAAUGGGCGCAAGCCUGAUGCAGCCAUGCCGCGUGUAUGAAGAAGGCCUUCGGGUUGUAAAGUACUUUCAGCGGGGAGGAAGGGAGUAAAGUUAAUACCUUUGCUCAUUGACGUUACCCGCAGAAGAAGCACCGGCUAACUCCGUG
rnacentral:rRNA from 1 species